CUACGGGCUGCAGCAGUCGCGAAAACUUUACAAUGCGCGAAAGCGUGAUAAGGGGAUCCAGAGUGCUUACUUUCGAGUAGGCUUUUGUUAAGUAUAAAUAGCUUGAUGAAUAAGUGGUGGGUAAUACUGGUGCCAGCCGCCGCGGUAACACCAGAGCCACAAGUGGCAAUCACGAUUAUUGGGCCUAAAGGGUUCGUAGCUGACUCAAUAAAUCCUUUGUGAAAUUGUUAGACUUAAUUUAACAGUGGGCAAAGGAGACUGUUGGGUUUGAGACCAGGAAGAGGCAGGAGCAUUCUAGGGGGAGCGGUAAAAUGUUAUAAUCCCUAGAGGACUACCAAUGGCGAAGGCACCUGUCUAGAGUGGGUCUGACAGUGAUGAACGAAGGCUAGGGGAGCAAUCCGGAUUAGAUACCCCAGUAGUC
rnacentral:rRNA from 1 species